rnacentral:lncRNA from 1 species
GUGCUUCCUCACAGGGCUAUUUUGGUCAUUUCAAUGCUUCAGAUCAGGGAUAUUAUGGUAAUUUCAACUGUUUAUUCUUGCUGGCUUCUUCAUACUAAUACACGUGUCUCCAUUGUUUCAACAACUAUUCAUUCUCAAUUGUUCUUUUCCCUUACCAAGCAUAUCGACAUUUUCUGAAGAAUUAUUUUCGAGUUUCAGGUUCGUCUCUUCUCAUUAUGUGCUUGAUUAUGAUUCCUUUAAUUUCAAUUUUAGCUUAUUCAGUGGAAUGCUUGUUUUUGUGCGAAUUGGGGGUGAAAAAUUUGUGGCUCAUUCUUUAUUUUCUCGGUUUCUCUUUCAAAUCAUGGGGUUUAUUUUACUUGUACUUGCGAUUUUAUUGUUUGAAUGUCCAAAUAAUUUAGGGGAAAUAAGUUGUGACGUAUUUUUUGGAUUAACUGUUUUAUUCUUUGGUGUAUCUUUUGCUCCCUAUCUGUUUGUGAUAAUUCUCCAUCGAAGCUGCUUGUUUGGAUUCUAAGUUUAGGCUGUAGUCUUCUGAUUUUUCCCAGCUAAUUGGAGUAUAUUGAUGGUCGUUAGGUGCUAAAGUUGAAUAGGUACAGUGUAAGCUAUCGUUGGUUAGGCCCACUGUUAUAGCAGUGCAUGUUUACAGUGGUUUGAAAAAUAAACUUUUCCAAAAGGACGAACUGGAUGUUUACUUGGGGCUUCAGAAAUAGUUGAGAAAGUAAGUUUGUAAUGUCAUCGAGACGUUAACAUUCUAAGUAGCGUAUGCUUACUGUUUUCUUGCCUCUUCUCAUAUUACAUUACCACACUAUUUUUAGCAUUUUGAGUUUCAUAACUAAUGAGUUGAUCAAUAAAUAAGGUUGUCUUGAUAAGUGUUUUGUCCAUGUUAGAAAUCCCUCAAAGUUUGAAUCUUUAACUGUGAUUGUUGAUUUAUUGUUAUGGUUUAGCUUAUGUGUUUUGUCCAUGUUAGAACCAAUUCAUGUACUACUCAUCUUCAGCUUUUUGUACGUGACACUUUUCAAACGCUUCUAAUCGUGUAGAUUUAUUUGAAAAAUGAAGAAACAGAUUCGCAACAUCUUCCUUUGUUGAGUAAUCUGCUCUCCAAUUUGAUUUGGAAUUGUCUUUAUAAUUCAGUAGUGAAUCUAUAAUGUUGAUUACGAGUCUAUUUAAAUCUUUGCUUUAACUAUGAAUUUAUUUUAACCAUUUCUUGCACUUCUGUACACAUGAAUUCUUAUACUUUAAGCUCUAUUUAAAUCUCCCUUUUUCAAGAUCGAAAAUCGUCAUCGAUGUUAACUUAGUUGUUACACCAAAAUCAGCCAUAAAUGGCAAUCCUUUCAACGAUGUCUUCUUUAAGUUAAUAUAUCUCUUAAUGUACCAUUCGGAUUGACGAUCUUCUGGUUUUGUUGGACAAUGAAGUCAAAGAGCUUAAUUCUACUGAACUUUCAUAGGUCAGUAAAGUUUAGAAUAUGUACUGACAUAGUAUAUUUGAUGUCUUUCCUUACAAAUAUAGGUUUCGACCCCAUUACUAUCUGAAGCUCGCUGUUCUGGUUAAAUUUGUGAAUGCUUAUUUGACAAAUGAUUGGAUGCUUGGAGUUGCCUUUCGUACUAGGUAUGCAUUAUCUGAAAGCGUAAUAGUACUUUAUUUGACAGUUUCAACGAUUCCCCUCUAUUUGCUUUCACAUUCGAUUUGCCGUUUUCUGCUUCUCUCCCUUGUGACUUCUGUAAUUUCUUCUAAAUAGUCUACUCACUCAAGACUUAGCUGGAAUUCAACCAGUUGAGAUUCCCUCUGUUGAGAAUGUAAGUUCGAUGUUACCAUUUCUUUCUGUAUCGCAGUUUUUUCCAUUUACUUGAACUUUAAUUUCUUUACAGGUUGAUGUAACUGAAUUCAUUGAGGGCCAUUACUUAUUAUCCUGUAUUUGGUCAUCGUGCUAUAAAAACAUAGAUCUUACAGUUCUUAUUUUAGAAAUAUUGCUUCUCUUAUUCUGAGUGCAUAGGUAGACCACAGAUUUAUCAAUUGUAAAGCUUCUGUAGUGUGAAUAAGCUUAUGAAACAAGAAUAUGCUUCUUUUAUGAGAAGUAGGCUAGCUAAAUUUUGCUUCCUGCUUUUGUUUCCAAAGAGAAUAUAGUUAGGGGAUAUCAUGUAGUCAUUUGGAAUUUAUCAUCACAAUAGUUUGGGGAUGACUGAAGGAGAGCCUUGGUAAAGUUGCUAUCAUGAAAUUAGGAGGUCAUGGGUUCAAGCCGUGAAAAUAGCCCCUCGUAGAAAUGUAAGUUGAGCUUGUGUACUAUAGACUUGUGCUCUGGCCCUUCUGCGGACGCAACUUGGUUUAAUUGUAUUUGUUAUAAUUCAAAACUGGACAUAUUAGCUUAGAGGGAAGAGAAAGUCAAGACAACCACAAACAUAGCAUGAGUACUGCUCAUUUGGGAAAUGUUGGAAGAUAUGUGAACUUUUUCUUACAUUGAUUAAGACGCGAGUUUCGACAUGGUACCUUAUAUGUCAAUAAAUUGUGUACCUAAGGGCAUUUUUGACUUUUUAUAAGGUUUCUUGUGCAACGUGUCUUUCAACAUGUGCACCUAUAUAGCCACGUAUCCUUUUUUGCUUCCUUUUAGAUAUAUUUCAUUCUUUCUCUUUGUCCGUCUAUAUUUGUUAUCUGAUAUUUUCUUACAUGAAAUCCACCAUUACCUCCAACGCAGAUUGAAAGUGAACAAAUUUUAUCAUAAAAUAUAGCAUGUUCCAAAAGCUUACAUGCACUUAAAAUUCAUAACGGCUGCUUUUCUACUUAUCUAUAUAAUGUCUAGCUUAGAUAUAUUUUGUUCUUUUAUGUCUUUGAUAUUUUAAUUAUUCGAAAUAUCUGUAUAUUAAAGCAAUUUUUGUGACUUUCCCUUGAAUUUUUUGCAGAUACUCUUCACCAAAUGUGACCGAGAGAAUUGACAAAGCAAUGCUUGGCUACUAGCAAAUUUAGCUGGUUCAAGUGUGAUAUAUCUGAGAUGAACUUGACUCUCUUAGCUCUACAAUUUUUUAAGAGUCCUUAGAAGGUGAGGAGUAACAAAUCUUACGCCAUGAAAGCAGAAAGCAAAAACAACAAAUAAAUGAAGAAAUUGAGUAUGGUGCCUCAUAAUAUCAAUUUGAUAGAUUUCAUAGUAGUAAGUACUUACAUUAGAGAUGGUUUGUGUAUGCAGAAGUAUAAUAAUAAAGUAACAGUUUUUUGUCAAAAUGACUUAGCAUGGAAUAGUCACCUUCUACCUUUUGAAUUUUAGUCAAUAGAAUAAGUUGUUUUCCCCCUCAAGAAGCUGAAGCAAUGUGAGAGACCCAGAAAAGCAAAAUAGGUAUUUUAGCGUCUUAAGUUGUAAAUUUUUGUUAGUGAACUGGAACAUUUUAUAGUUUGACAUUGUGAAUGAAAACAACAGAUGUAAAUUCUUUGCAGGACUUAAAGCUGGAAAAAAUUUCACCAUUCUUUAACCAUCUUUUUAUUCAAGUGAUGGUUUACUUUCACAUCUGGACUUUCAAUGUGAAAAAUAUAAAGAAGCUUAAACGCAUAAAUAAUACUCUCUAUUAUAUUGCUGCCUCCAGAAUGUAUAACUAAGGCCAAG